UAUUUAUGUGUAAUUAUUCAGGUACUACGUGACUUAAGUCUAAAAUGUAUAUAAAAAUAUCACAGAAUCGUUUUUUUUUCAUUCAUUUAUCCCCUAUGUGUUCCGGGACUCGCCUUGGUGAAAAAAGCAGGUAGUAAGUGCUGGCCAGAAUUGUUGUCAAGAUUUUCAUUUAGAACUCCUACUGGUGAAAGGUUUUCCACAAAUCUCCUUUGAAGGCUGAGAGCAUACGUGAAGAAUGUUUGCGCAGGUGUAAAUGUGCUGAUUUGAGAAGUGCUUGGAGGGAUUCUAAAAGUUUUUUCCUACACAUUUUCUCAGGAUUUUUCGUUCAAACAUUUCAAUUUCAUUUGCCACUGUUGGAGAAAUCGAAAACCAUAUUGGGAAACCAUAAUAUAUAAAUGGGCGGAUGGCGACUUUAUAUAAGAACAACUUAGUACUCUGUGGCAGAUAAGUAUUGCACAUGAUGUAUGAUAAACGACCAGCUGUCAUUUUGGCUUUUUUCAGGGCGGUUCUGGCGUGGUCAUUAAACUUAAAAUGUUUAUUUAUGUUUAUUCCCAAAUAUUUUAAGGUGUUCCUAAAAGGGAUUUUUGUUCCUCCAAGCGAGAGAUUCAAUAGUUUGGAUUCUGGCACUACUGUUCUAUGGCAUUUUCCUGAAGCGUUUCUAAUGCAAAUUGCCUCCGACUUCGCAGCAUUUAUGGAAAUUCCCCAUGUCGUGUAAUAUGCUUUUAUAAUUUGAAGAUGGUACGCUGCAUUAUUGAGAGCAGUAAUUGGUAGUGCAAUUUUAUGAUCUCUAGACUCCACUUUUUCGGAAUGCUGAUCGUGUAUGGAGAGGAAGGUGGCAAAGUUUGGCGAAGAGCUGAGUCAAAGUCCUGACGAUAGUUUACCCAAUUUGUGGAUUUAUAAGAUGUAAAGACUGGGGGAGACUUCAAUGCGAGACUGGCCGUGUUAAAGGCUAAUUUCAAUUUUAACGGGAAGUGAUCCGAAAAAGAGGGAAGCGAUGAGAUGUUGUAAUUAGCAGCAUUGAAGUCAAUCAAAUUGGCACUAAUAAGAAAAUGAUCAAGGAAUGAGGAUCCGUUUGGGUAUGAAGGCGUUGAGCAGCAAAUUCUACUAAUGUCAGUGGAAUUAUCAAGCAACCAACUAUAAAGAGCUUUACCAUUGGUAUUGUCAGUGAGAUCUCCCCAUGAUACAUUUUUGGAGUUGAGAUCUCCGCCAAAAAUGAACCCGUCAUAUUGUGAUGUUGCCGAUAGACAGUUAUUUAGUCCGUUUAUAAGUUGCAGAGAAUUGUAGUUACAUGGGAUAUAGAGCGAUCCCAACAGAUAUCUACGUAUGAUGUUACCUCUUGUUUCGAUUUCUACAAAAACAGUAUUGAAAUUAAUAUCUUCAAUAUCAACUCGUCUGUAAUUGAGGGUACUUUUUACUAAUAUGGCUACUCCUAUGUGUGAGUAGUCAUAAAUAAAGUUGUAACCGCUUAA